UUAUACAGUAAUGUGAAGAUGAUGUGUACUCUGUGGGGUUGUUAUGCUAAACAAGUAUACGAUUACAGUAGGAGUAACAUGUCCACCAUGAUUAUUUGUGUGAUCAGAUUCUGUUCUGUUAAAGAGUGGAAAGGUAAAUUAUAUUCUUCCGGUUUGUGUAAAAUAUUACUGAGCAUAACAUAUUAAUAAGCUUAAUAUACUUUGUAGGUGCUUACUCCAUAUCUAGCGGGUAUAAUUCAACCCAUAUCCUGCUCAACCCAACACUCGAUUUUAUUGAGGAGUUCAAAGCAAGUCUCCCUGAUGAUUCACUUGCUCUUACGAACAACGAUAGUAGCCAAUGGUCUGUUGGUACUGCUACUUCUAUUCGUGCCAGGUUUUUUUUUCUUAAUGAGAGGCUAACCAUCGGAGAGAUCAUUGAUAGCUCUGUGGUAUAUAGACUACACUCUUCGCUUUUGAAUUUUUUACACAUUUAUAUACUCCAUGUGUUAUCAGUGCUUUUAAAAAAUACUCAUUGAGUAAUAAUAGGUUGGCACUUUUGUUACUCUUGGGACCAUUGAAACAAUUGAUACUGAACGUGGCUGGCAAUAUCUAAGUUGCAAAUACCACAACAAAAAAGUGAUGCCUACAACUAAUGUUGAUGCUGAUGAUCGGCCCUUGUUCUUCUGCAAUACGUGUGACAAAGAACACAGUGAUGUUAUUUCCAGGUAUUGAUCGGGUUAGAUAUACAAAAAUAUCAGUUAGGUAGAUCGUCAUUGAAAUAGUCUGUGACGUUUUGCCUUUGAAUUUGUUCUGGUUCAAAUUAAUUGCCAAUGUCAAGGACGAUAGCGGCGAGGCUAAUUUUCUGUUGUUUGAUGCUAAUGCUCAAGCAAUUGUGCGUCAUUCUGCUGCUGAACUCUAUGACGAGAAUGAAGAUGAAGACUUCUUACCUGAAGCAGUGAGCGAUCUCUUUGGUAAGAG